rnacentral:lncRNA from 1 species
UAAAACUGUGACGCUUGAAGAUAAACGUGACCUUGACCAGCCCUGAGGAACUUCAGGACUGAAUCCUGCAGCAGAAGCAAGAACAGGCUAUUGGGAGACUCUGGUCCUCAACUGCACAAAGAAGGGCCCAUAUCCUCAACUCUGCCACAGACCUCUUUGAUUCCAGUUGGAAGCCUGGACAUUUCACUGCUGCUGAGGAGGGUUCCAGGGACUGGGAAACCUGAGCUGUGA